CUAAGAUGAAAAUGUUCUUUUAUUAUUUAUACAAAGAAUGGAGUCAAGCCAGCCCAAAAUUGCAAGAUUGAGCGCUCUCAUUAUAUAACUAAUACCCAGUGUUAAAUAUGUCCCUUUAUCAAAAAUUAUUUUCAUUUUGAUUUAGGAAGGAAUCAUGCCUCAGAUAAAGCAUUUUUUUCAGGAGCAAUUUAGGAAAUAUUUUAGAGAUUUAAUAAUAUCUUGUGUUAAACGAGGACUGCUCGUCAACUAAAGCUGACACCGGGCUUUCCUAUUUAAGCAUACAUACAUUUUCUACUACCAUUUGAUGAUAAUUAUCAACUUGUCUAACAAAGGUCUGAGAUGACAUUUUUGGGAGAGUGACUGACUAUGAACCCAUCACAAAAGUAACUCUUAAUCCGAGGUAUUACUGUUCAUCUUCUCAAAAAAAAAAAUCAUUCUAGAUUGUAAUUAUCAUAUCAACUAGCAAUAAGUGCUUUGAAUUUCAUUCAAUUAUAUAAAGUAAUUUACAUCAUUAUUAAUACAUAUACUAUUUGCAUUUUUGAAGUUUUAUCCUAUUAAAUUCAGACUGAUGAAUUAAUCAA
rnacentral:lncRNA from 1 species